UGGGAAUAUUGCACAAUGGGGCGAAAGCCUGAUGCAGCAACGCCGCGUGAGCGAAGAAGGUCUUCGGAUCGUAAAGCUCUGUCCUUGGGGAAGAUAAUGACGGUACCCUUGGAGGAAGCCCCGGCUAACUACGUGCCAGCAGCCGCGGUAAUACGUAGGGGGCAAGCGUUGUCCGGAAUUACUGGGUGUAAAGGGAGCGCAGGCGGGAAAUCAAGUUGGAUGUGAAAUGUCGGGGCUUAACCCCGGAACUGCAUCCAAAACUGAUAUUCUUGAGUGAAGUAGAGGUAGGCGGAAUUCCGAGUGUAGCGGUGAAAUGCGUAGAUAUUCGGAGGAACACCAGUGGCGAAGGCGGCCUACUGGGCUUUAACUGACGCUGAGGCUCGAAAGUGUGGGGAGCAAACAGGAUUAGAUACCCUGGUAGU
rnacentral:rRNA from 1 species